GACGAACGCUGGCGGCGUGCUUAACACAUGCAAGUCGAACGGAAAGGCCCUGCUUUUGUUGGGUGCUCGAGUGGCGAACGGGUGAGUAACACGUGAGUAACCUGCCCUUGACUUUGGGAUAACUUCAGGAAACUGGGGCUAAUACCGGAUAGGAGCUCCUGCUGCAUGGUGGGGGUUGGAAAGUUUCGGCGGUUGGGGAUGGACUCGCGGCUUAUCAGCUUGUUGGUGGGGUAGUGGCUUACCAAGGCUUUGACGGGUAGCCGGCCUGAGAGGGGGACCGGCCACAUUGGGACUGAGAUACGGCCAAGACUCCUACGGGAGGCAGCAGUGGGGAAUAUUGCACAAUGGGCGGAAGCCUGAUGCAGCAACGCCGCGUGCGGGAUGACGGCCUUCGGGUUGUAAACCGCUUUCGCCUGUGACGAAGCGUGAGUGACGGUAAUGGGUAAAGAAGCACCGGCUAACUACGUG
rnacentral:rRNA from 1 species